rnacentral:tRNA from 1 species
GGAAGCAUGGUUCAAGUGAUAGACCACCUGCCUAGCAAGCACAAGGCCCUGAGUUCAAACCCCAGUAUUUCCA